rnacentral:rRNA from 1 species
GAUGAACGCUGGCGGCGUGCUUAACACAUGCAAGUCGAACGAGAAGUGGAGACGGAAACCUUCGGGCGGAAGACUUUAUUUCGAGUGGCGGACGGGUGAGUAACGCGUGGGUAAUCUGCCUCAUACAGGGGGAUAACAGUUGGAAACGACUGUUAAUACCGCAUAAGACCACAGCACCGCAUGGUGCGGGGGUAAAAACUCCGGUGGUAUGAGAUGGACCCGCGUUCGAUUAGCCAGUUGGCGGGGUAACGGCCCACCAAAGCGACGAUCGAUAGCCGAUCUGAGAGGAUGACCGGCCACAUUGGGACUGAGACACGGCCCAAACUCCUACGGGAGGCAGCAGUGGGGAAUAUUGCACAAUGGGGGAAACCCUGAUGCAGCGACGCCGCGUGAGUGAAGAAGUAUUUCGGUAUGUAAAGCUCUAUCAGCAGGGAAGAAAAUGACGGUACCUGAGUAAGAAGCCCCGGCUAACUACGUG